UACAGAGGUCUCAAGCGUUGUUCGGAUUCAUUGGGCGUAAAGGGUGUGUAGGUGGCGCCGUAAGUCGGGUGUGAAAUUUCGGAGCUUAACUCCGAAAUUGCAUUCGAUACUGCGGUGCUUGAGGACUGGAGAGGAGACUGGAAUUCAUGGUGUAGCAGUGAAAUGCGUAGAGAUCAUGAGGAAGACCAGUGGCGAAGGCGGGUCUCUGGGACGGUACUGACGCUGAGACGCGAAAGCGUGGGGAGCGAACAGG
rnacentral:rRNA from 1 species